UGCUGCUCACAGCUGCAGCCCAUUGAGGAUGAGGCUCAGCCACAGCCCCACUCCCAGUUACCACAAACUCAGUGCCUACAGAGGCCUUCUUAGGGCUGUGAAAUCCAAGCAGUAUGACACAGCUCCAUUUUGGAGUUCACUGUCAAUUCUGCAUAGACGUGUUUUGCUUCUGAGCUAUAAAUGCAGCCAGACUUCUAUGGAUAAAGUAUUAUCAAAAAGCAUUAGGACUGAGAGUGGCUCCUUAGGGAAAAGCUUACUAAGAGGACCAGAGCAGCAGACUUUCCACAAGGGUUUUUCAGAAGCAGUUCCAACAUUGCAGCUGCAAAUCAGGAGAAAUUCAAUAGCAGACUUCUGGCAAUAAUUGAUAAAUCAAUAGGAAGGAGACCCCAGAAACUACAGCCUGUCAGACUCACUUCAGUGCUUGUAAAACCAUGGAAAAUAAUAUUCUGAGAAGUAUCCAAAAGCACCUGGAGUGCCUCCGUCAUAGGUCACAGCCAACACAAGCUUCCUGCCUGUCAAGUCUUGUUUCCCUCUAUGAGAGGAAAAGCCACUUAGUUUAUCUAGGAAAGUGAGUGAAUGCAACCUUCUCAGCAAUGCUUUGGAUACUGCCUCUCUCAGAAUCCUCCUGGACAAAAUAUUAAUAACCAGGUUACAUGAUAGUUGGGCAACUGGCUCACAGGUCAGGCACAAAAGGUUAUAAUGAAUGGUGUGACACCAGUCUGGUGACCUGUCACCAGUGGGGUUCCACAGGGCUCCAUCCCCAGUCCUGUGCUUUUCAGCAUCUUUAUGAAUGACUUGGACAAAGGGCUUGAAGGAAUACAGUAUAAGUUUGCUGCUGACACUGAACUGGGAGGAGCUUUAAACUCCCUCAAGGACAGAGAGGCCUUGACAAGUUAGAAGGCCAGGCAAUCACCAGCCAUACGGAGCUUGACAAGAACAAGGGCCAGAUUCUGCACUUUACUGAACGUUUUCAGGAACAAUUUAGAGAGUUAAAACAAGCCGAUCUAAUAUUUUCCCCAAACUGUCUGUUGGAAUGAAUGUCACCACACUACAGUUUCAUCAUCAAAGUUUUAAGUUUGUGUUUAUUUUAAACAUGUUUAUGUGUAGACAAAUAAUUUGAUUCUGGUUAAAAUAAUGACAACAAAUGCUCUUAAUUCAAGCAAUGCAUUUUUAAAGGCUGCAACACAGCUGUGAUUAUCAUCUUUGUGGGAAACAACACUGGACCACAAUUAGUUAUAUAUUCUUUUUACUAUAAAAGUACCCUUCAGUUAUCUUACUUGAUAUAGUACUAAACAUUAUCUCAGUAGAAAAGUAAUAAAAAAUCCAUAUUACCCAAGUGAAUUGCCCUUGUGCUAUUGAUUAAAGUAAAUAAAACCUAUAAUAUUGUGCCCCUCUUGUCUCUUAGAGUAAUGAAUGCAUUUCAAGUUUGCUUGUCUGUAGCUUUUAUACUUUGGAACACUGAAUUAGUUUAACAUGUAUUAAAUU